UGGGGAAUAUUGGACAAUGGGGGCAACCCUGAUCCAGCCAUGCCGCGUGAGUGAUGAAGGCCUUCGGGUUGUAAAGCUCUUUUGGCGGGGACGAUGAUGACGGUACCCGCAGAAUAAGCCCCGGCUAACUUCGUGCCAGCAGCCGCGGUAAGACGAAGGGGGCUAGCGUUGUUCGGAAUUACUGGGCGUAAAGCGAGUGUAGGCGGUUGCCGUAGUCAGGUGUGAAAGCCUUGAGCUCAACUCAAGAAAUGCACUUGAUACUGGGUGACUAGAGGACCGGAGAGGAUAGUGGAAUUCCCAGUGUAGUGGUGAAAUACGUAGAGAUUGGGAAGAACACCAGUGGCGAAGGCGGCUAUCUGGACGGUUACUGACGCUAAGACUCGAAAGCGUGGGGAGCAAACAGGAUUAGAUACCCUGGUAGUCCACGCCGUAAACGAUGGGUGCUAGACGUUGGCGAGCUUGCUCGUCAGUGUCGCAGCUAACGCGUUAAGCACCCCGCCUGGGGAGUACGGCCGCAAGGUUGAAACUUAAAGGAAUUGACGGGGGUCAUAGCUGUUUCCU
rnacentral:rRNA from 1 species